rnacentral:lncRNA from 13 species
CUAGAAUCUGAGAUUUAUUAUAAUUACUACAGGUAGUGUACUCAUUAAGCCUAGGGUCUGUGGUCUGGAGCCUAGAGUCUGUGGUCAGGAAAACCUACGCUUAAAUCCCGUCUCUACUGCUUACUAACUCUGGUGAUCUUGGAUAAAUUUAUUAAUCAUCUAUACUUUGUUCUUCUGCUAUCUACUUUUCAACAUUUGUGGCAAUUUGUGGCCAUACUAAUUGUACCUAUUAAGCCAACCCAAAAUUCUGGGGCUAAGACAAAAAUUACUUAUUUUCAUAAUUACAGGGCAUUGGCUGAUUGAGGCUGGGCUUUGCUGGAGAGUGAGCUCUUCACAGGCUGCAGAAUUGGAGGUGGCUCUGCUUAUCCCUGUUGGUGGUUAUCUGGGUUGACUCUGCAGCACUUGUCUCAUCUUCCUUGGAUUUGCAUGUUUACUGGGACUCAUUUUUCCUCUGGGUUAACAAAGGCAAAAGAGAUCAUGUGAAAACAUGAAGUUUCUUCAGGCCAAGGAACAGAAUCUCACUCUGUUGCCCAGGCUGGAGUACAGUGUGUGAUCUUGGCUCACUACAACCUUCACCUCCCAGGUUCCAGCGAUUGUUUUACCUCAGCUUCCAGAGUAGCUGGGAUUACAGAAGAGGAAGCCAGAGAGAUGUGCUUGGCUGGCCUGGAGGAAGGCAGGCAUCAAUCUUGUAUGCUACGUAUGGAGGGAACCACAUGGCAAAACCCUGAGACUGGCCCCCUAAGAAUAGAGAGUAGUUCCCAUCUGAAGCUGGCAAGAAAAUAAGACCUCAGUCUUACAGCCGUGUGAAAGGAAUUCUGCCAAUACCCAGCAAGCUCAGAAGAGGAUCACAACACUCUGGUGAUAACUGUAGCCCCAGCAAAUGCCUUGAGUUCAGCCUGGUGAAGAAUCCAAUCACUCUAUACCUGGCUUUUGGACAUAUAGAAACUGUUAAGGCAGCAAAUUUAAAGUCACUAAAUUUGUAGUACCUUGUAAUGUAGCAAUUAAAAACU